GACGUAGGGCGCGAGCGUUGUCCGGAAUUAUUGGGCGUAAAGAGCUUGUAGGCGGUUUGUCGCGUCUGCUGUGAAAUUUCGGGGUUCAACCCCGAACUUGCAGUGGGUACGGGCAGACUAGAGUGUGGUAGGGGAGACUGGAAUUCCUGGUGUAGCGGUGAAAUGCGCAGAUAUCAGGAGGAACACCGAUGGCGAAGGCAGGUCUCUGGGCCAUAACUGACGCUGAGAAGCGAAAGCAUGGGGAGCGAACAGG
rnacentral:rRNA from 1 species